AAAAAAUACAAAAUACAAAAUACAGAAAGUGAGGCUAUGAACUUGACAAGAAUCACCUAGACAAGGACAAGUCACCACCUCGGCAUGACCCUUCCUGACUUCAUCUUUCAAAGCAGCCAGAUGUCCCAUGGUAUAACCUCUAAGUUGAAGGGGCACGAUGAACAAAACAACGUGAGAUUAAAUUGAGCACAGGAGAUGAUGAUGCAAUCAAGAGACAAGGGAGACAGGAGAUGCACGAGGCAGCCACCGGCACGGCGUAGUGUCCUGCUCGUCAGGAAACGUUUUGGAUACAAAGAUGAGGGUGAGGAAGACGCAGACUCUGGCCCAGAAAGAGGAGAGCAGCAGAGUGGGCUGGCAGAACUUGUGACCAGUUUCCAUCUUGAAGAAUGGGUAACAGAUUUUACUUAAGAGAAGGGGAGCACUAUCGGAUGAGUUGUAGAGGUA